AUACGGAGGGUGCGAGCGUUAAUCGGAAUUAUUGGGCUUAAAGGGUGCGUAGGCGGCGCGGUAAGUGAGGUGUGAAAGCCCACGGCUCAACCGUGGAAUUGCGCUUCAUACUGCCGUGCUAGAGGGAGACAGAGGUAAGCGGAACUGAUGGUGGAGCGGUGAAAUGCGUUGAUAUUAUCAGGAACACCGGUGGCGAAAGCGGCUUACUGGGUCUCUUCUGACGCUGAGGCACGAAAGCUAGGGUAGCGAACGGGAUUAGAAACCCCAGUAGUCC
rnacentral:rRNA from 1 species